rnacentral:rRNA from 1 species
UACGUAGGGGGCUAGCGUUGUUCGGAUUCAUUGGGCGUAAAGGGUGCGUAGGCGGCGGGGCAAGUCUGAUGUGAAAUCCUGGGGCUCAACCUGGGAACUGCAUUUGUGACUGCAUCGCUGGAGUGCGGCAGAGGGGGAUGGAAUUCCGCGUGUAGCAGUGAAAUGCGUAGAUAUGCGGAGGAACACCGAUGGCGAAGGCAAUCCCCUGGGCCUGCACUGACGCUCAUGCACGAAAGCGUGGGGAGCGAACAGG